UCGUCACGUCGCGACUGGCGUUGGAUGGGUCACCAUCAGGGAGCGACAAAGACACGGUGCGCGGCCGUACGCCUGGGCUGCACCG
rfam:Curtobacterium flaccumfaciens TCD-AKT genomic scaffold scaffold1.6, whole genome shotgun sequence.